rnacentral:rRNA from 1 species
UACGUAGGGUGCGAGCGUUGUCCGGAUUUAUUGGGCGUAAAGAGCUCGUAGGCGGCUCGUCGCGUCGGAUGUGAAAGCCCGGGGCUUAACUCCGGGUCUGCAUUCGAUACGGGCAGGCUAGAGUGUGGUAGGGGAGAUCGGAAUUCCUGGUGUAGCGGUGAAAUGCGCAGAUAUCAGGAGGAACACCGGUGGCGAAGGCGGAUCUCUGGGCCAUUACUGACGCUGAGGAGCGAAAGCGUGGGGAGCGAACAGG